rnacentral:lncRNA from 1 species
UUUUCCUCUCGCACAGGCAUCACAGACUUUUUACAUCUUGAAUUAUGACAUAGCCAGACCAUGGACCAGGUCCUUCUGAAUUAGUUUUUUCAGAAGAGAAAAACUUGCAUGGCCCAGUCUUAUGUGCCAUAGUUAAACUUCAUCAUCAACAGCUUUCAAACAACUCAGAUCACCAUUCUGUAAGGACUCAAAAUCAGCGACAUUGAUGUUAUUGUAUAUUUUUUCCACAAGUACUAUUUCACUGGUCACAAGAUCAGUGACUAUAUAUAUUUCGAACGAGAAUUCCACCUUAUUUCCUUUAUCACAGAUUUGAGAAACACUCAAUAGGUUGUACUUAAGGCCAUUUACAUAGUACACAUUUUCAAUUGAAUGAGUGAGUGACUUUCCGACUUUUCCAACUCCAACAAUGUACCUCAUUUUACCAUUGCCAAAGGAUACUCCCUCCUUACAAGGCUUUUGGUGAAAGAAAGUCUGUGGUGUUCCCAGUCAUGUGUUUGAACACUCA